UACGUAGGGUGCAAGCGUUGUCCGGAUUUAUUGGGCGUAAAGAGCUCGUAGGCGGUUUGUCGCGUCUGCUGUGAAAACCUGAGGCUCAACCUCGGGCUUGCAGUGGGUACGGGCAGACUAGAGUGCGGUAGGGGUGACUGGAAUUCCUGGUGUAGCGGUGGAAUGCGCAGAUAUCAGGAGGAACACCGAUGGCGAAGGCAGGUCACUGGGCCGCAACUGACGCUGAGGAGCGAAAGCAUGGGGAGCGAACAGG
rnacentral:rRNA from 1 species